UUUUCGGAAACGUAGUUACUACGGCCCUUCACCAUUCACCUACUGAAAGACAUCCUGAUUGCCUCCAGGUUUUGGCUGUAAGCCAAAAUGAAGAUACCUGUGCUGCUUUAAGCAUUUGUGGAGGAGUGCCAUCCUGUCACUGCUGCCAUAUUCUACUGAUCAGAAGAAAAUCACAGAUUCCACUCACACUCAAGGGGAGCGCAUUACACACAAGGAUAUGUGCUGGGAAUGAAAAUCUGCAGCCAGUGUGGAAUUGCUGAUUUUUUUACUUUCUACCUAACACAGCAGAACUCUACAUAAGUUAUAGGCAAAGCAAUCCUGAAUCUGAACCCCAUCUCCCUCUUAGCUGUAAAUAUACAAGUAUUGGCAUUUUCUUCAUCAUUUGUUCCAGGUGUUUUUUUCCCUUCUCUGUGCCUGUCUUCAACCAGUGUUGUCCCCAGUGGUUAAAUCUCCUAAAAUUUAAAGAAAACAGGCUGUCCCCUCUCCUUCAGCCCCCCCACACAAGAGACCUCUCAGACUCUCCACGACCUCUCCUCCUUAUCUUAUCAUUUCCACCACACUGGUUUCCUUCUUUUCAGUUUCUUCCCAUAAUUACUCCACUAGUUUUCCCACUUCUCUCCUGUUGCCUUUCACUUUCCUUCGCUUAUUCAUUCAUUCACUCACAGAUAAACAGGUUUCCCAUCAAGCUGCUGAUGCUUCUUGAAAUUUGCAUUAAGCAAACUUUAAAAAAACCAUCUUGAGCUAGGAUUUGCUCUGGAUAGAAAACAACAGGACAGUACCUGUACUCAAAGGCACUUGCCUCUUGCCUGGACAAAGAUUACUCUGGCAUGAAAAGGAUCUGUCUGAAAUUCCAAGGCAGUCAUAUUAUUUUUCCCAAUGUCUCGAUAUUGCAUAAAACCAUACAUUGAUUUUGAGUGUAAAGGUCUUUUUUUGAAGUCUAUAGAAAAACCUUCAAAGGCCAACA